CAGUCGCCGCGGUAAUACGUAGGGUCCGAGCGUUGUCCGGAAUUACUGGGCGUAAAGAGCUCGUAGGUGGUUUGUCGCGUUGUUCGUGAAAACUCACAACUCAAUUGUGGGCGUGCGGGCGAUACGGGCAGACUGGAGUACUGCAGGGGAGACUGGAAUUCCUGGUGUAGCGGUGGAAUGCGCAGAUAUCAGGAGGAACACCGGUGGCGAAGGCGGGUCUCUGGGCAGUAACUGACGCUGAGGAGCGAAAGCGUGGGGAGCGAACAGGAUUAGAUACCCGUGUAGUCCCUGUCUCUUAUAA
rnacentral:rRNA from 1 species